CCUAAACGUCUCUUUCAGACUGGAACCGCCCAGAGAAGAGGAGAGGCUACAGGGGCUGGCCUCGGGGAGCGCUGACAAGCUAAACCACAUAAAACCGGCUUUUUCCGGUGGUGAACCAUGAGGAGGACGACAUAAGCUUUCAAUACCAAAUAAGUUGACAAGAUGCUGACAAACAGUGGUUAGCCCUAUAUUUAGUUGUUUUGAUCAAAAUUAUUGCUAAGGACAAUUCUGUAGUAGCUGGAUCUUGGUAGGGACAUGUCCCUUCUAAAUUCUACGGCCUUGAUUAGGCCGAUGGCAUGUAUACCACUCAGGAAAUCGUUUACGUAAUGAAAGACGAAGAUCAUGUUUAAGCUGUUUUUCAUGGUACACAUUUACAGCUUCUUUAUUAAAAAUUAUAGCAAAUGUUGCA